rnacentral:rRNA from 1 species
AUAUAGGACAAUGGGGGCAACCCUGAUCCAGCCAUGCCGAGUGUGUGAAGACGGUCAUGGGAGUGUAAAGCACAUUAAGUGGGGAGGAAGGGCUUUAGGUUAAUACCCUGAUGAUUUGACGUUACCAACAGAAGAGGCAACGUCUAAUUAUGUGCCAGCAGCCGCGGUAAUACAGAGGGUGCAAUCGUUAAUCGGAAUUACUGGGCGUAAAGCGCGCGUAGGUGGUUCAGUAAGAUGGGUGUGAAAUCCCCGGGCUUAACCUGGGAACUGCUUUCAUAACUGCUGAGCUAGAGUACGGUAGAGGGUAGUGGAAUUUCCUGUGUAGCGGUGAAAUGCGUAGAUAUAGGAAGGAACACCAGUGGCGAAGGCGACUACCUGGACUGAUACUGACACUGAGGUGCGAAAGCGUGGGGAGCAAAC